UACGGAGGGUGCGAGCGUUGUCCGGAAUCAUUGGGCGUAAAGGGCGCGUAGGUGGCCUGCUAAGCGUGCGGUGAAAGUCGGGGGCUCAACCCCCGAUCGGCCGUGCGAACUGGGAGGCUUGAGCACUGUAGAGGCAGGCGGAAUUCCGGGUGUAGCGGUGGAAUGCGUAGAGAUCCGGAAGAACACCGGUGGCGAAGGCGGCCUUCUGGGACGGUGACUGACGCUGGAGGCGCGAAAGGCCGUGGGGAAGCAAACAGGG
rnacentral:rRNA from 1 species